AUUGAACGCUGGCGGCAGGCCUAACACAUGCAAGUCGAAUGGUAACAGGAAACAGCUUGCUGUUUCGCUGACGAGUGGCGGACGGGUGAGUAAUGUCUGGGAAACUGCCUGAUGGAGGGGGAUAACUACUGGAAACGGUAGCUAAUACCGCAUAACGUCCCAAGACCAAAGAGGGGGACCUUCGGGCCUCUUGCCAUCAGAUGUGCCCAGAUGGGAUUAGCUAGUAGGUGGGGUAACGGCUCACCUAGGCGACGAUCCCUAGCUGGUCUGAGAGGAUGACCAGCCACACUGGAACUGAGACACGGUCCAGACUCCUACGGGAGGCAGCAGUGGGGAAUAUUGCACAAAGGGCGCAAGCCUGAUGCAGCCAUGCCGCGUGUAUGAAGAAGGCCAUCGGGUUGUAAAGUACUUUCAGCGGGGAGGAAGGGAGUAAAGUUAAUACCUUUGCUCAUUGACGUUACCCGCAGAAGAAGCACCGGCUAACUCCGUG
rnacentral:rRNA from 1 species